CUGGGUGCGCGAUGACAGCGCCAACUAGCGGUUACGAUUACGGCGGACUUUGAAAUGUCAAAUGGCUGGAUGUCAUUACAAAGAGUAAGUAAACAAUCAAAUAAUUUCAAUGAAAUAUCGUAAUUUACAUAUAUUCUAUUCGAUCAUUGACAUCUAUAGUGUCGAUAAUAACGUUGACCUUUUUUAUUUCCCGUCUAAAAUGGCACAAUCAAUAAAUUUCAGGUAGCACACACGGACUUUCUCAUGGCGGACUUCACGAGAAGUAAGUGAAGAAAUAAACAAAUUUAAUCGAAUAACGCAUUUUAUAUAUAUUGCAGACGAUCAUUAAUGACUGUAGUGUCGUUAAUAAUGCAUACUUUUUGUGUAUUUUCAGUUAAACAUGGCGAAAUUAAUUAUAAAAACUGGAUUUCGAGCAAUCACUCACGACAUCGCUUUCCAACCACAAACAACAAUUAAAGGAAAACAAUUAGUCUUGGCUCAACAUGUGCAAGAUGUAAAAGAAGUCAAAUGUGAAGAUCAUAUGAACCACACCAUUGAAGCUCGUGUAAUUCGUCAAACUUCUGUGACAUCGACGCCAUACACAACAUCCUUGAAUAUUGAUUCUAGUCGUUAUGUUACCAGUGGAAAGUGUGAAUGUGUGUACAAUCAGAGUGGCAGAUGUAAGCAUAUUGCGGCUCUGAUAUAUUACAUCAACCAUGAAGAAAGCUUCUCGAAAACCAGUGAAGAGCAGCAAUGGGGUCGACCUAGUGCCAGACAGUUCGCCAAAGAAAAGUACUCAAAAGGGAAAUACUUUCAUGAAAUGUAUCCACCGGCAAAGAAAAUUAGGUGUGAUCCUUUGCCAUUAGAUGUUUCUGAAUUGAAGGGAAAGUCAUCAUUAAAGUUAAUAAUGGAAGCUCA